GACAGAGGGUGCAAACGUUGUUCGGAAUUACUGGGCGUAAAGGGCGCGUAGGCGGUUGGAUAAGUCAGCUGUGAAAACCACGGGCUUAACUCGUGGCCUGCAGUUGAGACUGUCUGGCUUGAGUGUGGGAGAGGAGAGUGGAAUUCCUGGUGUAGCGGUGAAAUGCGUAGAUAUCAGGAGGAACACCGAUGGCGAAGGCAGGUCACUGGGCCGCAACUGACGCUGAGGAGCGAAAGCAUGGGGAGCGAACAGG
rnacentral:rRNA from 1 species